UACGGAGGAUCCGAGCGUUAUCCGGAUUUAUUGGGUUUAAAGGGUGCGCAGGCGGCCAUUUAAGUCAGGGGUUAAAUCGUGGGGCUCAACCCCAUUCUGCCGUUGAUACUGGGUGGCUUGAUUGCGGUCGAGGUUGGCGGAAUUCGUUGUGUAGCGGUGAAAUGCAUAGAUAUGACGAAGAACACCGAUUGCGUAGGCAGCUGACCAGACCGCAAAUGACGCUCAUGCACGAAAGUGCGGGGAUCGAACAGGAUUAGAUACCCUGGUAGUCCGCACAGUAAACGAUGAAUACUUGUUUUCGGCGAUAUAAUGUCGGAGGCAAAGCGAAAGCGAUAAGUAUUCCACCUGGGGAGUACGCCGGCAACGGUGAAACUCAAAUGAAUUGGCGGGG
rnacentral:rRNA from 1 species